UACAAAAUGCAUGCUUCGGUCCAUCAUUCUCCCUCUGACAAUCACAUUCAUUCUGAAGUCAAAGUACUUUCUCCUAUACCUUAAGCGUCAAAAAGACUUUGACAGGUAAAUACGAAUAAACGGUUAACAGACAUCUCGACCUUAAGAAAGUUCAGUCCUGGAUGUUCUAGUCCAAAAAGAAGUAUGACCCAAUCUUAUGCAUUAAUUUAUUAAAUUUCCGGUUGAGCAACACCCAAAUCCUCUAGAGACAUUGUUUACAGUUAUAUGACAUUACCUAAAUGUGUGACACAAUAUUAAUCCACACCUGCUCAAAGGGGCAUAAGCACCGAGCAUAGACCUAAAUUUUGCAGCCCUUCACUGGCAAUGGUGACGUCUCCAUACAAGUGAAAAAUUCUCAAGCAGGACGUUUACGUUUUUGUUUUUUCUUUUGAAAAUUUUGUUUUCAUUUUUUUUUUAAUGUUAAACAUGAAAAGUAUGACUAAAUCUGUGUUGACAGCCAAAAUUUUAACCUUCUGGAUGCAGGAAUAAAAGCAAUAUUUUAGCCUUCAUUCUGCGUUAUGUAAACAAAGACUGGAGUCUUUUUAUGUUUACAUUUAAGGUGGCUCACUACACCGGGAAAUAGUUUCUCAAAUCAGUACAAAUUGAUUUAAUAUUUUAAAAAAGAUCCAGAAGAUAUACAAUAAGUGUGUAUUUCAACACAUGAACAAAAGACUGGUGGAUUUGAGCUCAAGAUCUGUAGUUCACCAGCCCAAUGCUCUCUCUCUCUCUCUCUCUCUCUCUCUCUCUCUCUCUCUCUGUCUGUCUCUUGUCCAAUGCUUUAUUAAUUAACCACUUAGCUACCGUGUUAUAGACGAAUAAAUCGAUCGAUACAAAUACUUUCCCAAAACAUUUAAAUCGCCAUCUUGUAACAUAGUGUCAUAAAGCUUUAGUGUAGUAAGUACCUUAACAAACCAGUGAAAUGUUUAAUUUUGUAAUUGAAUUUUCAAAGCAUCUUUACUUUUGCACAUGCAAUUUUACAAAGAUUAUUCAAUAAAGGGUAAAAAAACAACACUUAAAAAUACUUGUUUUUGAUCCACUGUAGAUUUUAGGAAAAUAUUAGAUUCCUGGGUCAGAGAAAUCUAGACAUCAUUAAAUGAUAAUGAAGUAUUGUAAAAAAAAAUUCAAGACUCUCCAAUAUUGUUUGCAACUAGGAGAAAUGGUCACAAGCUAUUUUACACCCGCAUCCCUCUUGGAUCGAACCACUAUAACUUUUAGGAUAACAAUAAAUCCUCUCCCAACAAUGUGCACAUCUGCAAAUGGCAAUGAAGCAUUGUACAAAGUUUCAAGUUUAUCAGAUAAUCCAUACAGGAGGAGAAGCAUUUUAAUGCACAAUUUAAGACUUUGUGACAGACAGACUUACAGAUAUGGACAGAAAGUACAAAAACCAUAUAAUUAUAUGAAAUGAAUUUGCAUGUAAAAAGUACAUGAAGUGCACAAUUAUGAUUUAAAUGUAAUUAUCAUUUUUAUUAGGAAUUUUGAUGUCUCCUCUUUUUGCAAACAAUAUACACAUCUAUAUAUGAAGAUGAGAUAUAUAAUGAGGAUAUAAAACACUUCUAACAAAAAUGUAAACAAAUAUGUGCAAUGCGAGUUUGAAAAUAUGUAUGUCUUAAAAAGUGAUUGACUAGAUAUCAGGAAGCAAGCAAGCUCACUCCAUGUUACUGUGCUACAACUAACUGAAAUUCACUACAUUAUCCAAAAUCCACCCCAAAAGAACCAAAACCUACCAACACUAAAUACCAAUAUAUAUCCAUGUGAGGUCAAGGUUUCAGGAGUGAAACAAUGUGUUUUUUAAACUUUAAAUCUCAUUAUGUUUUACUUUUGUAGGAUAUUCAUAAUGUUGAAAUUGAUUUAAAGCAAUCAAUUUUCAAUUGGAGAUACAAGGUACAUGUAUGCACAUAAAUGUACCACCCUGAAUCUCAUAUCAUACAUGUACCUUAUUUUAUAGCUGGCAAAAUUAUGAAAUGAAAUUUAAUGUCACCACAGAAUUUAUAAUUUCCGUUUCUUUCUCUCAAUUCACAUGGAGACCUCCUUUUUUAGAGUCUUAUUUUCUUUUACUUGAAUGUUCUAAAUUGAAAUCUAAGGAAUAAUAAUCUUGGAAGAAAAAUCUACAUGAAAAUAUUUUCUACUUUGAGAAACAAAAUGACAAACAUAACUGUUUUAAAUGUAAGUCAGAAAUAGAAAAAUAAUUCAAUUUAUUGCACUUACAUAUGUAAUUGAAAGAAAAUUCCUUUGAGUACAUGAUUUUAGAAUGAAAAUAAGAUUGAUUAAUAUUCAAAAAAGUAUUUCAAUUUCUUCAAAACUUCAAUCUUCAGAUGAUUUUCCAUCCAUUGACACCCCAAAUGUAUGAUCACACACAUUCAGCAGGAACAUCUGUUCCUCAAAUCUCCUUCACAUAACACUUGACUACUUUUGAAAUGCAAUUUAAGUCUUUUUAGAAAUUAACAAAGAUGAGUGUACAGAUUCAUACCCUAGCAGUUGAUGAUUGCUAAAACUGAUCACUACUCAAAACUCUGAAACAAAUCUUUCUGGAUUUUUUUGUAUUUCACACACACACGCACACAUACACGUACAUGCAUACACACAUCAAAAAUAUCAACAAGACACUGACCUUACCAGUCACCUGAGUUAUUUAGUUAAAAGUAUUACUAACCUCAAUAUGAAUGAAAUCUAUAUAAUACAGUAACUUUUCUUGCUCUAGGCAUGCAUUUAUAUGCUAAAUUCUAAUAUUCAGUAGAAGUAUAAUAUAAGGUGUAAUUCAUUCCCCCAAAAUCAUCUAUACUGAUGAAACAUUUUACAAUUAUAAACUUGAUAUACACUUUUAACACUAUUUGGAUCUGACCUUGAAUCAGAACCCUGGAGUUGCAAGUGUCACAAUUUUUGUACAUCUUUCUGUUUUUCUUGACAAUGCAUCCAUCAUUUAUAAUAUUCUAGUGUCAACAAAAUUAAAGAAGGAUUCUUUUAAAUCAUAAAGACAUGUAAUUACUAUGACCAUUUUGGUUCCAUCUAUUUUAAAGCUAGUAUCAAAACCUUUAGAUUCUAACAUGUAUAUAUAAACUGCGUUUUUAAUUAUCAAAUACCAAAAAAAAAAAAAAAAAAACCACCCAAAAACCAACCAACUUUUAGCUAUUGAUCUUAAUCAUAGUGUUUUAUUUUGAUAAUUUAAUUUACAGAUACAUGUAUAAGUUGUCAUAAUGUCAUUUAAUUCUAUUUUAUUGUUGCAUUUCCUCUUCUUGCCCUUGUAAAACACCUUAGAGUAAUAAACUGUUUUAUAUAAGGCUGCAUGUAUAUAAAUUUUAUUAUUAUUAUCACUGAUCGAGGUCAUGAAAUUUACAAUUACCUGUUCUACCUAAAAGCAUCAAUAGCAUUAAGGAAGAUGUUAUCUAAAUUUAAAUGUUUUACACAUAAACACUAUAUAUCAAGUUUGGUUCCUCCUGGAGUCAGAAUUUCUACCCUAGGAAUCAUGAUAUUUACAAGCUUGAUGUUUUGUUUACUGUCACAACAGAAGCUGACCACUAGCAAUAGGUCACAUGAGAGAAUCAAUUGACCUAAAAAUCUAUCAAUUAACAUGAUUGAAAUGUUUUAAUCUUUAUAUCCAUGAUAAGAUAUUCUUUAUAUAUUUUAUAUUGAAUUCAAUUUGGUACUUUGACCUCUUUAUUUUCAAAAUAAUUGGAAUUAUGUCUAUAUACAUACAUGUGAGAGUUGGCCUCCAUGUGUCCAAUGAAGAAAUUAUGAAUAAUGGAAUCACAAAUUAAUGAUUGUCUAAUGCUUACAGGGAUGGAUCCAGGAAUUUUUGAGAGAGGGGAAUUUUACCAUUAAUUUUGGUUAUCAAGGGAGGGGGUCCACCCUCAAAAUGUGUUAUUUUUACUUUAUUUUAGCAAAAUUUCCUGAACCAGCACCCCUUCUGGAUCCACCACUGGGUUAUCAUUUACUCCUUCAUUCUUGAUUACAAACCUAAGGACACUAAAUUGUAAUUUCACAUUUUUUUUUAAUUUGACAAUAUUUCAUUAUCACACAACAGCAAAAUUAUGAAAGCAUAUACAUGUACGUACAAUAAUAGCAAAUUGAUUGUUCUGACAUAUCAUUUGAUAUACAUAUAUAUUCAUAAGAAAAUUUGAACUAUCAUGCAUAUUACAGAUUAUCAGUCAUCAAGAUUUUUGUUGUGUUUUUCUUUUUUUUUGGUUCAAAGUAAUUUCACAUUUUGAAUCUUGCUUAUUAAUUGAUAUGUUGAUAUGGAAUCAAAUGAUAUGCAUGCACGCAGAAGCUAUGUGAAAAAUGUCAGAUCUUGUGUAGCAAUUUGUAAACCCAAUGAUUACAAAGCCUAUUAGUAUUCUAUAUCAGUAAAAGAAAAUCCUAUUUUAAUUCAUAUUUUGCAAUAGAUAUGAUAAAAGGAAUAAGCAUUUAAUAAUAAUUAUCAAAAUCUAUAGUUUAAAAUUGAAAAACAAUCUCAUAAAAAAUAUAACAUAUAUUUUACACAUGCAUUUUUGUAAACUUUACAAAAGGAACAGAUUUCCCCCCUGAAUUUAUAUAAAAAUCAGUAUUAUGUCCUGUGACAUUUUGUUAUUAUGCUUUAAUAAACUUCUAAUAUUGACUUUGUCCUUGCAUGGUCACUUUGUCCAUUUUUUUUUUAUAUCUGUACCCAGGUUUUGUCUUGUGACUUUUACCCCAACUAAUCCCUCUGUGUAUAAUACACAUGGGAUGUUCUUUACAGCUCAGCAAGCCCCUGGCUUUGUUUCUCAUUGUUCCUUAUCUACAAUUACUGGGUGAAUGACUUUGUGAGGUUGUAAUUUGCCAUCUAAUACUUUUAUAAGCAUUUCAUAUCAUGAUCAACAUGUCAUACUAUUUCAGUCAAUAUUAUAAAUAAUUCAUUUGACACAUAAUAUGUAAUAUUGUAGGCUUAUAUGGUAAUAUUUGGAAAAUAAUGGCAAAGCAAUUCUCAGCAUGAACAUUGAAAAUUAUGUUGCAAUAUACAUGUACAUCACCCAAUACAAAGGCAAAGGAUACAUUUUAAUUUUUACGUUUAAAUUCAUAUGAAAUAUUGUGAAAUUCAUAAUCAUGUGAAUGCAUAGCUGCAGAACUGUAGCUCUCUGAGAAAAUAUUAAUUGGUACAGAUCUGUCCCAAUAUUUUCUCAGAGAGCUACAAUUCUGCAGCUAGUGAAUGUGGUUAACUUAUACUACCAUUAAGAUAUGUAAUCUCUUUCUAAUAUUUGUUUAAUUUGUACCUUUUUCAUAUUGUACAACAAAGUAUAAUUUAAUGCACAUUAAUCCUCGAAUUAUAAUAAUUUUUUUAAAUUAUUUUUUUUUAGGCUUAAUUUUUUUUUAUUUAUUUGUACAAAUAGAAAUUAAGUGCAUCAUAAUAUAUACUUUUAAAGGUAAGAUGUACAAUUGAUAUAUAAUCACUCAUACCAACCAUUCAUACCACUCAAACAUUUCAAAACUAUGGAUUAUAAAUUUUGAUUAGUGCAAAAUUUGUUAAUUUCUAUAAGGUCAUCUCAAAUCUUUUAAAAUCAUUUUAGUGACUUUUUGGGGGAAAACACCUGAAACACUUUUAAAGCCAAUUUAAAUGGUCCAGGUCAAGCAUAUUUUGCUUUUAGGCCAAAUCUUUGUAAGAUCAUUUGUGCACUUUGACAAUUAUCUCUAAAUAUUCGGGCUAGUAUAAUGAAGAAGUAUGGAUGUUUCAAUUUUCAUUAACAUUUAAUACCAAAACCAUAUCUCCUUUUCUUGACCAAAAAAGCCCCCCCCCCCUUCCACACACACACAGUGAGGUCUAGAUCCGCCACUGUUUAAUCUGUGAUUUUGGGGCGAAGUUGGAUCAAUUUCAUUUUAUGAACAGGUCCAGUGGUACGAUGAAUUUUUCAUUUUCAAGACAAAUUAAUAGAAAUAUAAAUUGUUAGCCAGUAAAAAGAAGUAAUGAUUUAAAUCAGAUACUUGGAACAGUGUUGAUGUUAACAGGGACCUAUAUACUAGUUAGUAUAUAGCUAUGAUGUUAACUUAUGAAAUUCUUAUAUUGUAUACAAGAUAUUAUCCAACUAACAGAUAGACUUUUGCAAUUAUAUCUUAUGCAUUAUGAACUGUAGCUAAACAAUAUCACUAUUAAAAUCUUAUGUCCAUUUCCAUGUAGUUGGGAAUCAAUUAAGCUUUCCUGGUUCCGAUUUUGGUUUAAUUUUUAUUUUGUGAACAUAAAUCAAUAUUUGUCUAAUCACAGGAACCGGUAAUUUUGUCUGUAAUGAUAAUAAUGAGAGUCUAUACGAUACCACCCCCCCCCCCCCGUGUUUUUAUUAAGAGGUGGUAUUGAAUACACCCGUAAAUAUCAUUACAGACAAAAUGGUAAUAUAUUUACAAGUGCACUCUACGUAUUGUUCUCCACGGGCAAGGGGACAGGCACCGGAAGUACGGAUACAUGUAUUUAGAGAUUGACCUUCUACUGGUAUAUAAUAAAAUGAAUUUUAUUGUACCGGUAGAAGGCCAAUCUCUAUACCGGUAGAAGGCCAAUCUCUAAAGCUUACAAAAAAGCGUGAAACGAUUACAUGAAUCGAAAGAGGGAUGAAAUAGACUACGAAUUCAUACAUUUCAGAGAAAUUAUUCCCACCAAAAAUAAUAUGAAAAAAAGGUGGGGGGGGGGGGAGUAGUAAUAUCCAUAUUUAAGGUGCCUGUGCAGGCAAGGGCGCAUCCAGGAAUUGUUUAAAGGAUGAGCGGAUUGCGACCCAAGUUUGUGCCUAUUCCGCCCCGGUCCCAAAGAUGGGUGAAUAUCUCAAACUGGUAAAAUGACAAGUUUUGUUUAAAACUAUGGAAGUAAAGUGGAGUGACUACAACCCUCUCGAUCCGCCACUGAUGAACAAGAACUACAUUACGGGGAUUAGGAAGCACAGGGUUCAUUUAGAAUAAUUGUAAUCUUUAAGGAAAUCUUCGUGGAGCACAUUAUCGCAAAUAGUUGCUGAAAUUGAACCUUACCAUAAUUCCGCCGGCGAGGAUUGCAGCUAUUUUCACUUUCACAUCGCAGGAGGUGCGUUUGAUGAGCUAUCAACUUAUACAGACAGUAUCUCCUCAUAUCUACAUGUACAGGGGCGGGUCCAGGAAUUGUGGUUACGGGGCGCCACUUUAUGAGGCAGUGGGUCCAUGGCGAAGGCCUGGUUGGGGCCCAGGGGGCGAAGCCCCCGGAAACUCCUGGGUUUUACAAAUUUUAUGGGGCUUGAAAUAUUUCUCCUAUUUAGUCAUUUGUAUUACAUGUAUUUUCUAUCAUUUUAAUAAGGUGAAAUUAACAAAAUGACCCAAAUUUUAAGGGUUUUUUGGGAAAAUAUUAAGUUCUCCCAAUAAAGUAAUUAAAAAAAUUAAAAGAUUUUGUCAUUUAUUUCUCCGCCUGCGCCACCUCUAAAUCCGCCACUGAUGUAUAUUGCAAUAAUCUACCAGAAUAUACUGACACCUUAUAGGUGAUACUUCAUUAGUACAAAUGGACACCACCACCACCACCAUCCCUCCAAACGGAGGGGGUGAGACUAACAACGAAA